rnacentral:rRNA from 1 species
UGGUGCUUGCAUUAUCACUUAGCGGCGGACGGGUGAGUAAUGCUUAGGAAUCUGCCAUUUAGUGGGGGACAACAUUCCGAAAGGAAUGCUAAUACCGCAUACGUCCUACGGGAGAAAGCAGGGGAUCUUCGGACCUUGCGCUAAAUGAUGAGCCUAAGUCGGAUUAGCUAGUUGGUGGGGUAAAGGCCUACCAAGGCGACGAUCUGUAGCGGGUCUGAGAGGAUGAUCCGCCACACUGGGACUGAGACACGGCCCAGACUCCUACGGGAGGCAGCAGUGGGGAAUAUUGGACAAUGGGCGGAAGCCUGAUCCAGCCAUGCCGCGUGUGUGAAGAAGGCCUUUUGGUUGUAAAGCACUUNAAGCGAGGAGGAGGCUACUAGUACUAAUACUACUGGAUAGUGGACGUUACUCGCAGAAUAAGCACCGGCUAACUCUGUGCCAGCAGCCGCGGUAAUACAGAGGGUGCGAGCGUUAAUCGGAUUUACUGGGCGUAAAGCGUGCGUAGGCGGCUUCUUAAGUCGGAUGUGAAAUCCCUGAGCUUAACUUAGGAAUUGCAUUCGAUACUGGGAAGCUAGAGUAUGGGAGAGGAUGGUAGAAUUCCAGGUGUAGCGGUGAAAUGCGUAGAGAUCUGGAGGAAUACCGAUGGCGAAGGCAGCCAUCUGGCCUAAUACUGACGCUGAGGUACGAAAGCAUGGGGAGCAAACAGGAUUAGAUACCCUGGUAGUCCAUGCCGUAAACGAUGUCUACUAGCCGUUGGGGCCUUUGAGGCUUUAGUGGCGCAGCUAACGCGAUAAGUAGACCGCCUGGGGAGUACGGUCGCAAGACUAAAACUCAAAUGAAUUGACGGGGGCCCGCACAAGCGGUGGAGCAUGUGGUUUAAUUCGAUGCAACGCGAAGAACCUUACCUGGUCUUGACAUAGUAAGAACUUUCCAGAGAUGGAUUGGUGCCUUCGGGAACUUACAUACAGGUGCUGCAUGGCUGUCGUCAGCUCGUGUCGUGAGAUGUUGGGUUAAGUCCCGCAACGAGCGCAACCCUUUUCCUUAUUUGCCAGCGAGUAAUGUCGGGAACUUUAAGGAUACUGCCAGUGACAAACUGGAGGAAGGCGGGGACGACGUCAAGUCAUCAUGGCCCUUACGACCAGGGCUACACACGUGCUACAAUGGUCGGUACAAAGGGUUGCUACCUAGCGAUAGGAUGCUAAUCUCAAAAAGCCGAUCGUAGUCCGGAUUGGAGUCUGCAACUCGACUCCAUGAAGUCGGAAUCG